GGGGCAGAGGGUGAGGUGAAACCCUAGUUUCACCAAAAUCCAUCAAAUUGAAGGGGGAUUGAAGGGCUAAACUAAUGCAUGAACCAAGAUUGUCGAUCACUUUAGUGUUUCUACCAUCAUGAUCAUGUUUAAAGGGGAAAGCAUGGAAGGCAAACGGAAAAGGGAUGAGGAAGCAUGUACGAAACGGACACUCGAGGUGCGUAUGAUCAGACGUAUGAAUAUAUGAAUGCACGAAGUAGGAUUUAUCGUCUAUGAAAAGAAUGGGACAGGAAUGAGAACGUCAGACUCUUGUAGAAUUGAAGCCGAACCUUGAAGCCGAACUCGGAACAAAGGAAUCCGAGAGGAUAGUCGAAUGAAUCAAAGUUUAUGUACUACACGGAUUUCUUCUACCACUAUCGAAGAUAAGCGGGCAUAGAUCGAGUCGAAUGACAAGGGUUGUACGGAA
rnacentral:lncRNA from 1 species